rnacentral:rRNA from 1 species
AGUGAACGCUGGCGGUAGGCCUAACACAUGCCAGUCGAACGGCAGCACAGUAAGAGCUUGCUCUUACGGGUGGCGAGUGGCGGACGGGCGAGGAAUACAUCGGAAUCUACUUUUUCGUGGGGGAUAACGUAGGGAAACUUACGCUAAUACCGCAUACGACCUACGGGUGAAAGCAGGGGAUCUUCGGACCUUGCGCGAUUGAAUGAGCCGAUGUCGGAUUAGCUAGUUGGCGGGGUAAAGGUCCACCAAGGCGACGAUCCGUAGCUGGUCUGAGAGGAUGAUCAGCCACACUGGAACUGAGACACGGUCCAGACUCCUACGGGAGGCAGCAGUGGGGAAUAUUGGACAAUGGGCGCAAGCCUGAUCCAGCCAUACCGCGUGGGUGAAGAAGGCCUUCGGGUUGUAAAGCCCUUUUGUUGGGAAAGAAAAGCAGCAGGUUAAUACCCCGCUGUUCCGACGGUACCCAAAGAAUAAGCACCGGCUAACUUCGUG